rnacentral:rRNA from 1 species
UACGUAGGGUGCGAGCGUUGUCCGGAAUUAUUGGGCGUAAAGGGCUCGUAGGCGGUUUGUCGCGUCGGGAGUGAAAACCUUGGGCUUAACUCAGGGCUUGCUUUCGAUACGGGCAGACUAGAGGUAUGCAGGGGAGAACGGAAUUCCUGGUGUAGCGGUGAAAUGCGCAGAUAUCAGGAGGAACACCGGUGGCGAAGGCGGGUCUCUGGACAGUUCCUGACGCUGAGGCACGAAGGCGUGGGGAGCGAACAGG